AUUGAACGCUGGCGGCAUGCUUUACACAUGCAAGUCGAACGGUAACAGGCCUUCGGGUGCUGACGAGUGGCGCACGGGUGAGUAAUGCAUCGGAACGUACCCAGAGGUGGGGGAUAACGCAGCGAAAGCUGUGCUAAUACCGCAUGUGAUCUGAGGAUGAAAGCGGGGGACCGAGCAGCAAUGUUUGGCCUCGCGCCUUUGGAGCGGCCGAUGUCGGAUUAGCUAGUUGGUGGGGUAAAGGCCUACCAAGGCGACGAUCCGUAGCUGGUCUGAGAGGACGAACAGCACACAUGGGAAGGGCAAACGGCCCGGAACCCGUGGGGGGGGCACAGGGGGGGAUUUGGGAAAAGUGGGGGAAGGCGGAAUCAGGAAUGGCGGGUGGCGGAAGAAGGCCCUCGGGUUGGAAACCGGUUUUGGGGAGAACGAAACGGUGGCCCCUAAAACCGGGGGCUAAGGGCGGGAACUUGAAAAAAAAGACCGGGUAACUACG
rnacentral:rRNA from 1 species